GGGAGUGAAAUAGAACCUGAAACCCUGCACUUACAAGCUGUGGAAGCACAUUUCUUGUGUGACCGCGUACUUUUUGUAGAACGGGCCAACGAGUUACGUUAAGUAGCAAGGUUAAGCACUUAAGGUGCGGAGCCGUAGCGAAUGCGACUUAUAACUGAUCGUUCUGAUGCUUGACGUAGCACCGAAACCGGGCGACCUACCCACGAUCAGGAUGAAGCGUAAAGAUAAUUUCGAGGCGGUCCGCACUCCCGCGCGUUGAAAAACUAGAGGAUGACGUGUGGGUAGCGGUGAAAUUCCAAUCGAGCCCGGAGAUAGCUGGUUCUCCCCGAAAUAGCUUUAGGGCUAGCCUCAAGGUUAGAGAUACGGUGGUAGAGCACUGAAUGUCCUAGGGGGUAUUUCACAUACCGAAGACUAUCAAACUCCGAAUGCCGUCAUCUGAUACUUGGGAGUCUGCCUGUGGGUGAUAAGAUUCAUAGUCGAAAGGGCAUCAGCCCAGUUCGUCAGCUACGGUCCCUAAAUGUAAGUUAAGUGGUAAAGGAUGUGGGAUUGCACAGACAACCAGGAUGUUGGCUUAGAAGCAGCCACUCAUUCAAAGAGUGCGUAAUAGCUCACUGGUCGAGUGAUCCUGCGCCGAAGAUUUCCGGGGCUAAA
rnacentral:rRNA from 1 species